GGCUCCUUGGUCAAGCGGUCAAGACGUUACCCUCUCACGGUAGAAUCAGGGGUUCGAUUCCCCUAGGGGUCA
rnacentral:tRNA from 1 species